CUCCCGUUCGCCCCUGCACGGGGCUUGUCCCGAGAGCUGCGCACGGAGCUUUCGGGCGCCUGUUCUGAGAGCCUGGCGCUCUGUGGCUAGGUGCAAGUUGUGUUGAAAUAGGUGAUGGUCUAGGGAGGCUGCCGCGUGCUUUAAAUUUGCUUUCAUGUAUUGGAUCAAUCCUCGUAACUAAAGUUUGGCUACGGUAGAGAGCUUGAAAGGCAGCCAGUGAUGAAAGGAAGCACCUGAAGCUGACUUGUACUCAGAAGUUGUCGUGAAGUAAUAGAGUGGGAAUGAUUUAAAUGUCUUCUACUGUUCUGUUCCAGGCUUGUAAAUUUUGCCACUUUUCUGCAAUGGAUAAAAGAUAACUGAAUGUUUCAAUAAACGUUCAGGUAGUUUGCAUCUGAUGUUUCUUUUUGACACCAGCAGGCAGCUCCUCUAGGAGCAGACUGUAUUAAUACUGUGUAGUGUAAUGUAAUUAAUACUGUGCUAUUAAUGAGCAGCAGGUUUCUGUCAAAUCAUCCAGGCACUGUCUGAAAAAAAUCAUGCCUAAACAUCCCUCAUCCUGGCCAGUCAGUCAAUAACUUCCUGCAUAUUGGGAGAGAGAAUGGACAGCUGGAGUGGUGAUUCCUGACAGAAGAACUUCUCAGAGCACCUGGGAUUUUUAUCUUACCCCAGCCUUGUAUUUAUUUGGGAUCAUAACAUCUGCCCUGCAGCAACUUUGAAGUUUUUCAUAGAUCUGGAUAAGAAUUAAGACUUGGAUUUUGAAGUGUUUGAGCAAGUUACUACUGCCCAAGUCAUGACGCUUCCGUUUCGAAAGGACUUGGACAAGUACAAAGAUCUCGAUGAGGAUGAAAUUCUUGGCAAACUUUCAGAAGAAGAACUGAAACAACUGGAAACUGUUUUGGAUGAUCUUGACCCUGAGAACGCGCUGCUGCCUGCAGGCUUCCGGCAGAAAGACCAGACUGCCAAGAAGGCCUCAGGUCCCUUCGACAGGGAGCGGCUCCUGGCAUAUUUGGAGAAGCAGGCGCUGGAGUACAAGGACAGGGAAGACUAUGUGCCUUUUACAAGAGAAAAGAAAGGGAAAAUAUUUAUCCCCAAGCAAAAGCCUGUACAGUCUUUCACAGAAGAAAAAUUCACUCUUGAUCCAGAACUGGAGGAAGCCUUGACCAGUGCCACAGACACAGAAUUAGGUGACCUUGCAGCAAUACUGGGAAUGUCCAACUUAAUAACAAACAAUCAGUUCUGUGAUGUAGUAGGAAGCAGUAAUGGGGUUGACAAAGACAGCUUCUCAAAUAUAGUAAAAGGUGAAAAAAUGUUGCCUGUUUUUGAUGAACCACCAAAUCCUACAAACGUGGAGGAGACACUGCAAAGGAUUAAAGAUAAUGAUUCUCGUCUUGUUGAAGUUAAUUUAAAUAAUAUUAAGAACAUACCAAUUCCAACGCUGAAAGAAUUUGCAAAAGCCUUAGAAACCAACACACAUGUGAAGAAUUUUAGCCUGGCAGCCACCCGAAGCAAUGAUCCUGUUGCUGUUGCUCUUGCAGACAUGCUGAGAGUAAACACAAAAUUAAAAAGUUUGAACAUAGAAUCAAACUUCAUCACUGGAGUUGGAAUUCUGGCAUUGGUUGAUGCAUUGAAAGACAAUGAAACGUUGACAGAGAUCAAAAUUGAUAAUCAGAGGCAGCAGCUGGGCACAGCUGCAGAAGUAGAAAUUGCCAAGAUGCUUGAAGAAAACAACAAGAUCCUCAAAUUUGGAUACCAUUUUACACAACAGGGACCUCGAGCCAGGGCAGCUGCAGCUAUCACAAAAAACAAUGAUUUGGUCUGGAGUAUGCGAGUAAAAGUUUCUGCAAAUACCUUUUCAUCUCUCCAGCCCUGAAGCUACAGAGAAGGUUACUCUGAAUACCCGCUUGGGUAUUGAGCAGUGAAACUGGGAUGUUCGAAGUCUCUCAUUUCUCUCUUUUUCGGAAGAGAAGGGUUGAAGGAGACAAUUAGAGCUGUUGCCAGAACUGUGGAGUCAGCACGGGCAGCACCGUGGGCUUUGGCAAUCUUGGACUACAUUGACCUGGGUUAGAAGGGAAAAGACUGGAAACCCCAUUCCUUUUAAAGCAAAGCAAUAGAAUCAUCUGCUGGUAUGCAGCACGGUUUUGGGAUGGAUGGAAACACAGUAGUGUGCCAGUCUCUGUACCAUAGGUUUUGAUAGGGCUUUUUUAAGAACUUCUUUUGUAUUUCAAGACUUUGGCUGUGCUUUCUACUAAAAAUGUAAUUGUAAAUCAAUGGUAUAAUUGUCUGUGGUCAAAGAAUGGGACCUCUAAUAUCAUUGGGCAGAUACUGACCCAACUGAAACGUUUGCAAGAAAAUCUGGGGGUGUGUAUUUACGUGGAGGGGUGUGUGUAUUCCUGACAACAAUGCAUUAGACAGAAGGGAUUCUUCACCCAGCAGCUGGACUCGUGUAGAGCUGUUCAGCUUUGUUCAUAUGCACUGAAGAGAAAUCUUUCACAGCAAUGUUAUUUGUAAUUCUACUGUGUUGUUUUUUACUAGUUCUUGAUACUGUGAUGCAGUUCAAAGACAUCCUUUUAAGCCAAACAAAAAUAAAUUGACUAAGGACUUCUCCCGGGAGAUUAGAGGGACUAAUACAAAAGUGGAAGUCUUGCGGAAAAAGAAAAAAAAAAAUUAGGAGCCUUGCAAAAUGAGUUUUUCUGUUACACCUAAAUCCUUAAAGUCUUUUCAAAAGAUCCUGUAGCUGUGUCUCACUCAGUAUCUAAACUGGACACAUUUUUAGACUGAUUUCAUGUGUUCAUCACCAUUAUUUAGCUCAUAUUCUGUGUUUAAAAAUUGUUAUCUACAUUCAUGGGUAUCAAUUUCUCUAGAAGUAGUGAACAUUCAUAUUUAAAAUACUGCAGAACUGUACAGGAAGAACAGCCUUAACUGUAAAACCACUGACCUAAGUUGUAUUACAUUAAGCUAUUUGUACUUCAUACAAAUCUAACAGUUUUUAAUAAUGAAGUAACACUUUUUAAGUGUUUUUCCAUUCUAUAUCUGUGUUUACGUUGAAACACUACCUUAAGACAUGCAAAAACUAACCAAUAUGUAGUGUCAAAUCUCUAGGGUAUAGUCAUUAUUAAAGUGUUUAAAGUUCUAUAAGCAAAAUAAUAAGGCAACAAGAAUCACUUCAACUUCUGCACAUAAUCACAGUACACUUUGAAAUAUUAAAAUCUAGAAGUUUUUUGGUGUAGGUCUGUUUGGACUGUCUUGUACUAGUUUGCUUUGAGAUCACAAAAAUAUUCUACAGGACUGCUUGGCUGUAUUUAUAGCAACAGAGAAUUCAACUGACAACUGCUUUCAUCCAAAGAUCAUAAUGAGCAUUUAUGUGUAGAAAACAUAUUGGGCUGAGAAUUUUGCAUCAGGUUGUAUAUACUAUAAAAACAGAGCAUUGUGCCCACAUUGCAAUUUGCUGCAAAUCUUGGUUUGGAUCUUUAAAGACAGACUUUAUUCUGGAGGUGGCUUCAAAUUUUACUGCAACUGUACAGAGAAUUUUGAACUACAGUGCCUUCAGUAGGGAUGUAUAUAACUGGUUUAUACUCACGGAAGAACCUUUUUUUUCCCCUAUUUCUAAAUCAGCCUUUUAUUAGAAUUACAAAUAAAUAUCUGCUCUGAAAACCAAGUUGGAACUAAUUCAGUUAAAACCAAAGACUACACUUACUGUAACCUCACAACAACAUCAGAAGUGUUCUGUUGAGUAACAAAAAGGGCUUAUUUUGGUUUGGGCUUUUGUAAAUUUUCAAGAACUUUUUAGAUUUUAAAAUAAACUUUGAAAUAGUUCUAAUACAGUAUGCAUACAGGCACAAGUUAAGUGUCCUUUUACAGACAGACACUGCUGUAUAAACAUGGCCAAAGCAUGUCAUGUGCUGAGUUGCCUAAAGCUGUACUUUACUUUUUAUUUGCUAGGCACCGUAAUCAUUUUGUGUCAAAAAACAGGCUAUAAUAUCUUCCUUCAUUUGUUGAAGGGCUGCAUGUUCACAGAAUCUGUUCAUGUAUUGGGAUUCUAGGAUGAGUUAUUUUAUCACUGCCUAGAAAGAUUAGGCAGUUAUUGCCGACUUGAACAUGAAGGAGAAAGCUGAAAGGCUGGAUUAUGGAAAUAAUAGCCCAAAUCAAUUUCUUGCUUUUACUAAAUCAAGUUUGGCUGUAUAAUUAUUUAUAUUCCAAUCAAAGGCAGGGCCAUUUAUGUUGCAGCUCUCAGGUGUCCUGUCACAAAUGAUAGUAUUGGACCCUAAUAAAUGGUUUAGCUCUGUGGACAACAGCUAAAAAUUUGACUGCUUAUGGACUGCUUCAGUACAGAUACCUGACAGGCUGGGCAUGGAAAACCAAUAUUUUCAACUAGAAGGGUUUAAUAAUCCAAAUUGUUGCAAGACCUUUGGCAUGGUGCAUGGAACAGUUAACAGCAAUCACUUUUGUGCCUGCAGUGUGUAUCCUUUUUGGAAUAAAUGAUAAAAUUCAGUCUGUAGCCAGGAACCUUCAACAGUCUCAACAAAAGCACGGCUAUAAUGUCAUUGAGUGUGGUGAGAUCCUGCAUAUGGCUUCACUGAGUGUGAGUGCAGGGGUGGUACUACUUUAAUAACCAGUUACCAUAAACACAAGGUCUUUUUUCCUAAAGAGAUACUGUUUUUUUACUCGAUUAUUUUUCCAGCUUAAAGCAAGAAAUCAAAUGACCGCAUAUGUUGAUUCUGUUGGUUUGAAGCUUAGCAUGGAAACAUAACCAAUAUUUCAGAGCAAAUACCUAUUUAGUCUUGUAUUUUAAAUAGCCUCAUUCUCUCUACAGCUUGAGUAAUCCUGCGUUUGUAAGCUACAAACGAGUUAAGUGUUCAAUUUAAAUUUCCAUUGGGGAAACAGGUAUUGAGUAUUUUAGCAUAUCAGUACUAUAUGCUGUCAGAUUGUAUAACAGUUACAAAUUUUUGGAUGAUUAAAGUACUGUAUUCUUGUUGUGGCUUCGGGA